CAAGUAUUUAAUCCAAACGUAGCCCAUCUUUAUUAUGAAACCAAUCAUCCUAUUUUUUACUUUUGGGCCACCUACUUCAUCAUUUAAGUCCAUUAUUUUUAUGAAGCCCAAACCUACCAUAACCUACUUUACACUAUAAAUACUCCAUUUAUCCCCAAAAUUUCCCACACAAAAAGUCAAUUGGUCAAGGUAAUUAUUUCUCCUCUUAUUUCCCUUUUCUUAUUCUUUUUCUUUUUUCCUUUUCUUAUUUUUUUUCCUUUCUUUUGCUUGUUCAUUCACGUGGGAAUUCUUUUUCCUUUUUGCUGCCACUGCUGCCCGCCAUCCCCACCGCCGGUCUGCCACCACUUGCCACGCCGCCGUCGGCCAGCAGCCGCCCAACUGGCCGGCCACCACCCAUGGAGACUUGGUUCGAGAGGUGUUGUAGUGUAAUUGACCAUUUUAAGAGCUUAAUUGAGGAGAAUUGGUUCGAGAGGUGUUGUAGUGUAAUUGACCAUUUCAAGAGCUUAAUUGAGUGGAAACAAGUAGAGAUAAAUUUUCAGGCAUUGAAGCAUGAGCAUGAUGGGGCAUGAGAGAAGAGUGAAUCUUACUAGUUUUCAUUAGGUUACAAGGUGUUUUAUGCUUUAUCUAUUUAUGAUAUAUUUUGUAUGGACUAACACAAAGGUUUGGUUUUGGGAACGUUUUUUAAUAAGGGCCUUUAAUGGUUCCAAGUUAUAGUUUGAUUUUAUUUGACUAGUUCGUUUGGUUUUAAACUUUAUUUUCGUUUUGUUGACUUUGGGUUGACUUGUUUAAUCGGUUUUUAAUUUUGAGUCU